GAAAAAACAUUACAAUCAGGAUUUGAUAUAUUAUUUAUUUUAUAUCAACUAUGCACUCCAUUUGUUUUGCCAUUUAGCCACGCAGUUUAGGUAGUUAUGGUCUUAUCUUAAUUAACAGGGUGCACCACUUCAGCUUGGAGGGUCUGACUGUGGGAUAUUCUUGUUGAUACCAACAGUCAGUCAACCAACAAAUGAUCCAUCCGGAUCUGAACAUCAUGGAGGUCACCCCAUCUGUGCCCAACAUCAUGGAGGACUCGGCAGUGAUGAAACAGAUUCUGCUGGCCUGUGACUGGGUGGAGGAAAACAGACCCCACUUUGGGAAAGUUCACUUACCAAAGAUCUUAAGGAUGACCGAGGAUGAUGCCUUGUUGGCCAUAACAAUGCGGGACCUAUUUGUUGACACUAUUUUCCAUGGAGGUGAAAUGGAUGAGGACAAAAUCUGGGCUCCCUUCCUUUUCACCUUUGAUAGAAUUGAAGACAUGGAGUUUUUCUUGCAGGAAAUGAAUGACAAAAGAAAAAUUUGUGUGUCUUGCCUGCAUGACCCUCACCUUUAACGAGCUAACAGUCUGAUGGGGUUGAUCUGGGUAAAUAUUGAUUUUUAAAUUUUGUUUUGUAUUGCCUUGUAGUUUUAGGUUUAAUUUUUUUUUUUUUAUUUUAAGUUUUGUGGGGAAAAAGUGUUCUUGAAACUUGAUAUUCAAUUUUGUGUCUUGUAUCCUAUUAUUAUGUUCCUAGAAUGAAGAUUGUUAGCCAUACAUUUAGCUAAUAAAGGUUAAUAGAAAUAAAAUAUAUACAGCAACACUUGAGGACAGUGAAGAAUGUGACUCAUAAAUUGUAAAUUAAGUAACACUCCCAGGCUACUAAUAAAUGUUCCUGCAAUGGUUGCCAGUGCUUGUCGUCUUGUUUUUUCUUUGGUGUGACACGUUGCUGGUUUCAGACCAAUAACCUGGUCAGGUAGGUAGGUUAUUUAUUACCAUUUUAUUAAGACAAUCGCGUGGACUGAGUCCAUCCAAAAUUAUAUUCCAUUAAAUUAUAUUCACAACUACCCUGUUGUGCAUAUGUUACAAUUGCAUUUUCAUUUUAAGGUGGUAGUCCUAAGUGUACAUUUAAAAGGGAUAAGUG